GCAGGAGCAGGAGCAGCGGGCAGGUGUGCGGAGCGCACCGCGCAGCCUUUGUGCGCCCCGCCCGGCCCCCUUCCCCGCCGGCAGCCGAGGAGGAGCAGGAGCAGCAGCAGCUGGGGGCGGGCGUGCGGAGCGUCCGGGGCAGCCUUUGUGCGCGGCGGGCGGCGGGCCCAUCGGAAGGGGGAGCGGGGCCGGCCGCUCUGGAGGCAUCAUGGCCGCUAAAUCGGACGGGAGGCUGAAGAUGAAGAAGAGCAGCGACGUGGCGUUCACGCCGCUGCAGAACUCGGAGCCGUCGGGCUCGGGGCCGGGGCCGGGGCCGGGGCCGCCGUCGGGGGCGGAGGGCGACGAGGCGGCCGGGCCGGGGGAAGGGCGGCCUCGCCAACGCCGCCGCCGCCGCCGCUGCCGCUGCUGCUGCUGCUGCUGCUGCGGGGGCCCGGCCGCCUCGUCGGUCGCCGGCCCCGGGCCGGGCUCGCCCUCCCCGGCCGGGGCCCGGAGGCGCUACUCGCCCUGGGACUGCCUGUGGCUGCUGGCCGCCGCCGCCGUCUACUUCGCCGACGUGGGCACCGACGUGUGGCUGGCCGUCGACUACUACCUGCGGGGCCAGCGCUGGUGGUUCGGCCUGACCCUCUUCUUCGUGGUGCUGGGCUCGCUGUCGGUGCAGGUGUUCAGCUUUCGCUGGUUCGCCCACGACUUCGGCGCCGACGACCCCGCCGCCGGGCCCCAGCCCCCCGCCGAAGCCAAGGCCGAGCCCCCCGACGGAGGAGGAGGAGGAGGAGGAGGAGGAGGAGGAGGAGAGCGGGAGCCUCGCCCUUCGACCCCGCACGGGCAGCCCUCCGACGCCACCGGGACCGGCCGCCGGGCCCGCUCGGCCUCCUGCGCCUUCUGCGUCUGGCUCCUGCAGUCCCUCGUCCACGUCCUGCAGCUCGGCCAGAUCUGGAGAUAUUUCCACACGAUAUACUUAGGGAUCCGCAGCCGCCGGAGCGGGGAGCACGACAGAUGGCGUUUUUAUUGGAAGAUGGUGUACGAGUACGCAGAUGUGAGUAUGCUGCAUCUGCUGGCCACCUUCUUGGAGAGCGCCCCUCAGCUGGUCCUGCAGCUCUGCAUUGUCGUCCAGACUCACACCCUGCAGGCCCUCCAAGGUCUCACUGCCGCAGCCUCCCUCGUGUCCUUGGCGUGGGCCUUGGCGUCUUACCAGAAGGCUCUCCGGGACUCGCGCGACGACAAGAAGCCUAUCAGCUACAUGGCCGUCAUCAUCCAGUUUUGCUGGCAUUUCUUCACCAUUGCCGCCAGAGUCAUCACUUUUGCCCUCUUUGCCUCAGUUUUCCAGCUGUACUUUGGGAUUUUCAUCGUCCUGCACUGGUGCAUCAUGACCUUCUGGAUUGUCCACUGUGAGACGGAAUUCUGCAUCACCAAGUGGGAAGAGAUCGUGUUCGACAUGGUGGUGGGGAUCAUCUAUAUCUUUAGCUGGUUCAACGUCAAGGAAGGAAGGACACGCUGCAGGCUCUUCAUUUACUAUUUUGUGAUCCUUUUGGAAAACUCUGCCUUGAGUGCUCUCUGGUACCUCUACAAGGCCCCACAGAUCGCGGAUGCAUUUGCCAUCCCAGCGCUGUGCGUGGUGUUCAGCAGCUUUUUAACGGGCAUUGUUUUUAUGCUGAUGUAUUAUGCCUUCUUUCACCCCAACGGACCUCGAUUUGGGCAGUCGCCAAGCUGUGCUUGUGAGGACCCUGUAACUGCCUUCACUCUGCCCCCAGAAGUGGCCACGAGCACCCUGAGGUCCAUUUCCAACAACCGCAGCUUGUCAAGUGACCGGGAUCAGAAAUUUGUGGAGCGGGACGGGAGCACCCCUGUCUUUCAGGUGAGGCCCACCGCCCCCUCCACUCCAUCAUCCCGACCGCCGAGGAUUGAAGAAUCAGUCAUUAAAAUCGACCUGUUCAGGAACAGGUAUCCAGCGUGGGAGAGACACGUAUUGGACAGAAGCCUCCGGAAGGCCAUCUUAGCUUUUGAAUGUUCCCCUGCUCCUCCGCGGCUACAGUACAAAGAUGACGCCUUGAUUCAGGAGCGCCUGGAGUAUGAAACCACGUUAUAAAAACGGGAGGAACUUGGAGGUGCUGAAAUGUUACAGUCCGAGCUAAGGGUGGACAGAAGGGCUGUGGCAAUAACAAAACUUCAUCCGAGGGGAGAGCAGCGGGGCGGAGCGUUGCCGGUCUGGCCGACGUGACGGGUUGUCGUUUGAGCCGUUGACGGCGGAGGGGCUGCUGCGGGACUCCUUCAGAGCAGCGACAUCGCCUGAGAGCCGCAGUCAUGCCCCCAGACGCAACUCGUGACUUUUCGCUGCGCCCGAACUCCUGCACAGUUCUUUCAAUCAAUCAUUCAAAACCAUAGGAAGGUUUAAGGGGAAAACCUGCCUAUGACCGAUGGGAUAUUUUUAAGAGGGUAACUGAUAUUUGUGUAGACACAUAGUCAUCUCUCCCACUCUAUCACACACACAUGCACAUGCAUACACACAAACACACACACACACACACACACAGAGCCUCCAGUCAAAAUAGGCAACAUGCCAAUCCAAAACUCUUUUCCUGAAAAAAAUGAAACAAGAUUCUCGAGACUCCUGAAAAGAAACCUCUACUGUGUGGAAUAGAUUUGCAAAUUAUUUAAGUGAAAAAAAAAUCUGUGUGUGUGAAUCUACCAGGGGACUGCAAACUAAAGCCUGUUUACACAAGUGUUCAUAUUGAUGGAAUGGUUAGUUUUCUAUGAAAUUCAGGAUUUAUUUUCAUUUAAAAUUUCAGUUGAAAGCAUCCUUCUUUGAGAGAAAUCCUAUGCAGUACGUUUGUGACUUUCAGAAAAAACCAAGGCGCUCUAGUACUUAGUCAUGUAAAUCGAAUGGUAAUCACGGUUCAGUAUUCAAUUGCAAAAAAAAAAAAAAAAAACCAACAAACACAAAGAAAAAACGAAGAAGGAAAAAAGGCAAAAUUGAAAGCCUGGGCUCCACUACCUUUGGAGACCAGGUUUGGUUGGUAAGGGGCAAAGCACCUGGAAAUGAAUAUUUUGAAGCCACUUCAGGGCUCAGAAUACACAGCUCCGAGUGUCACGUGUGACCUGGUGCGAAUCAAGAACGUGACACGCCAUAACCUUCUAGUGCCAAACAUUUCAGACCUACAAGACUGAUAUUAAUACCUGAGGGAUUGAGAAUGAGUGGCAUGAGCCCUUCACAAGCAGGAAGCAAGAAAAAAUGAUGAAGUUCUCCAAGUGUACAGACAGCUUGUCUUUCGGUUGUUUUUAUUUAACCCCCACCUGAGGUGAAAGUGAUAUGUCUUUUAGAGGCUUUGAGCCACUUAUUAAAACAUCUUGGAACUUGUCAAGCUUUACUCGAGGUGAUUUGCAGUUAAUUAAUUCAACAGACAUUUUAAUCUUGCAUAUUUGUGACUUGUAAUAUUGUAAUCAAGCUACUCCAAGCAAACAUUAAUCAGUUAGUGAAAAAAGGAGCACCACUUUCAUUUUUGUGCCAUUCUGCGCCUAGGGCUGAAGCAAAAGACCUACAUGAAAUAUAACACUAAUAAAUUCAUGCUGCCUAAUUUCUCAUCAUUCAUAUUAUUAAUAUGCAUACUCUUGUUUUUGCAAGUAAGCACUGUUUUGGGGGAAAUGGAUUGUUGGGCAGCCAAUUGCCUCAUGAUAUCUUAAUGGGAUCCAGGCAUUUUCUUUAAAUUGAGCCAAAUCCAGUAAUGGACAUGAACACAAGUCAAUGUUUCCUAUUUACAAGGUGCUGUGCAUGAAAAAAGGUGCUGCCUUUAGUCCAGUUUUUAGGGCACGGUUGUCCAUCUUAAAAUAACCAUUUUUUUUUAAUCAACUUGGACGUUGAAGGUAAUAUGGAACUACUCUGCAAUUCUCUCCCUGGGACGAGACCAUCCCAAAUCCAAGUUGUGGGUUGUGACUGUGGAGGUGCUCACUGUCAUUGCCCCAUUCCAUGUUUGUUUUGGGGGUAUAAACUUCGGUGCCUAAGCUCAUCCACAUGACCUCUUUUGGAUAUUUAAAAUUCACUUCAGAUGGACAGCUCACCCAAGCUUCCUUACUAUUUAAAAUAACUACUUAAUUUGUCUCGAGAAAGAUCAAAGCUAUACUGGUCGAAAGGGACUAGAAUAGACUGAGAUGAUAUCAACAAGAAACAUGGAAGAUGUUCACAGGCGAUUAUUCUUCAUGAGCAUUUCUGCCCUGAGAUACUGGACAGGGUUCUAACUUGAUAGAGAGACAGUGUGCUAAACCAAAUCCAGAUGACCCUCCAAGUGAAAGUCAUCAUGCCCAUCUUCAGGCUCGUCAUGCAGUCUACAGAAAAAUGAGCCGGUUGUGGCCGUGGGUCAUACGCAGAAGAGUCUCCUUAACAGCAUGGGCCCGCCAUCUCUGAAGAAACACCAAGAAUGGAAAAUGCAAAAAGCCUGAAGCUUCUUCUCACCCCUCUCAGUCACCGCUGGAUCCUUCGGACCAAAACAUCAAAAGGAAGUUAUAUGCUCCCACCAAUGCUAAGAGAUGGGUUCUCCAGAAAUAUUUAAUUGGUCCUUGGCCCAAGUUCUGAAUCCAAGACAGAAAAACAAUGUUACUUCCCACCACAUUUUUUAUUUUUAAAUGUAAAGUCAACCAUCGUGAAGUUGCCCCCAGCAUCCUACUUAAAAUGUCAGUCUAAGUUAUCUAGUUUUCUAAAACCCAAAGUAACCAAGGUAUCCCCCAAAUUCCUGUAAACUACUCGAUGUUUUCGACCGAGGUUAACGUCUGAGCAAUAAAACCAUCCUCUUAAAGGAGGUGCUGGAGGGGAGGAUUGCUCAAAUUAGGCAUCUAGAGAGUCUCCCAAAAAGGACACACCCAUUUGUGGGUUAGCAACAUUUGGCUUUCUUUCAGAGUAGAGAUUCGAGAGAGCCGUGACACUCCUCUAACUAUGGAGGUAGAUAUUUUCUUCCAAGAAAAUCAACGUGGUAGAAACAAGGCAUACGGAAAAAGAGUUUGAAGAUAAUGACCUCAAAUCAGAGGUAGCCUUAUUCUAUUCCGACAGGGAAGAUUCCCCAGUGAUAAUUCUCCCUGGUCACUGACCCUUUGCUGCUAUAUGGCCUGGCAUGCCACGGACUCCUGGUGGAUUUUAAGGCAAGCUAUUCUAAGUUGUCCUAAGUCACUUUUGCUUCAGAACAUUUGUAAUUUAAUUACCCUAGAUUUGAAUAGUAAUGAGAUUCAGGGUUACCAUGGCCUUAUGUAUCAUCCUACUGUAAAUUUACCGCCACAUCACAAUAUUCCUUUGUUUUCAAAUUCACUAAAGCAGGUUUACAAUUUUAGCUGAAUCCUUUAAACUGGAUCUAGAGCCUGCCAAUCCCCAAACCACUGUACUCACUGAUUAGAAAAAUCACACAAGAAAAGUGAAGAGUUAAGGCCUUUCCAGAGAAUUCACCCGAUGGAGAUACACUCGAUCAUUCUUGACUAAUGCCCUACCUUUUCCUCAGUGGCAAGCUGUUCUGUCAAAAUUAUCCAGAAAAUUAGCUAACUCUCCACUUCCCUAUGCCUUCUGUGGUGGACAGCUCUUUCUCACAUUCUCUCAAUGUUCUCCUGUUUUAAACCAUAGUUGGCAGAGCAAAUGAGCAUUCCAGAUCGAUAACGUGUGUCUACAACAGACAAAACACAUGGCUAGGUACUUAUUUUGGUUAAUGCCCGAACAGAUCCCAGCUCCUGUUUAGUGACCCUAGUGAUCCAAACUCGUUUCAAUCCAAAUAAACAAGAAUUUGGGGCAGGGUCG